rnacentral:misc_RNA from 1 species
GUGGUCUCUCCUGGUGGCGGG